GUAGAGAUGGCUCAGUGGUUGAGAGCACUGACUGCUCCAGAGGUCCUGAGUUCAAUUCCCAGUAACCACA
rfam:Mus musculus chromosome 4, GRC primary reference assembly.